rnacentral:lncRNA from 1 species
UUUCCAGCAAUUAAUGUACGGUAGGCAGUAAAUUUUAUUCUGGAUAUUAAGUAAUGACUAAGACACUGUUUAUUCUCACAAGGCACUCAUUGGCUAAACAUGAUGCGAGAUGUAAAAAAACUGUAAUAUCCUGAGGUGACAUUGAACUCUGGUGAAGUUUAUCCAAAGAAGUUGACUCUUCAAUGAGAGUUUAGUGAAAGUGUCACAGACAAGCUUGUGACUGUGCUCAGCCUUGAACAAGGUGUUGGAAUUCUCCCAGGUGGUCGGGAGGUGGGAGUACUCCAGGAUGAGCAGGGAGGGGAGGACAUUUAGGGGUAAUUAGACUGUAAGGUGUGUUUAUAAAAUGACAAUAUGACAUUGUAAUUGUAAUGCAGAUUAUUACUGUCUGACCAAUACUCAGUAGCAGAGGGUGGGAAAUGAAACCACAUGAGCUUGGUCUGAGAGAACACAGUCAGAUGAAGAAAGAGCCUUAUAUUUUGGCCACAGGAUUGUAGUUUGAUUCUGAAAUUAGUAGACAGUAAAUGCAGGUUUCAUGCAAGGGGACAGCCGUGAUCAGGCCUGCUCUCUGUAAAAGUCACCCAGGUCAAUGUGAGGAACAGACUGUUGCUGCUUUCAAAGUGUGAGAGAGACUGAGGGACGGAAACAGCACAGAAACCCUGGGAGUGGAAGGAGAGGAGCGGGUCUCUGAGGGGGGAAAAUAAUGUAUCCAAAAAUUCCAACUAAUUUUUCCAUUAACUAGUGUAUUUUUACUAGAAACAAUGCCAGAAAUGUUAUAUUCAUCAUUUAAAUCUCCCAGAAACUAUGAAUUUGGUAUCAUUAUCCUAUUUUAUAAGGAAUGUGACUGACUGUAGUGAUAGUGCUUGUGCAGGGCACAUAAUGGAGUCUGGAGACAUGUUCAGAACUCAUCGUUUCCAGGUAUUUUGCGUUUCGCGAGUACUCAUAUUUAAUUAACUUUAUUUUUUGAAGAGUUGUACACUUACAAAAAACUUGCUGUGAUAGUACAGAGAGUUUCCCUCAGCUCCAUUCCCAGUUUCUGCUCGUAUGAACACAUCCUGUCUGUUAUCCUACACUACAUUUAGUCCUUUCUGCCUAGCCUCCCCUGGCUGUGACAGGUUCUCAGGCUUUCAUUGUUUUUUAAGAACCUGGUAGUUUUAGGGAGUAACGGUCAGGUGUUUUGUAAAAUGUUCUUCAACAGAAUUUGUCUGUUUUAUUCUCAUGAUUAGGUUGGGAUUAUGGAUUUGGGGCAAGAAGAUUAGAGAAGUAAAUUGCCAUUUUCAUCACA